CUUGGUGACGCUUGCUGCUGAGAUCUACUGGAAAAGAACAGCUAAACACGUACUAACCAUCAAAGUUCAAACAGGGAACAGAAGGCCAGCGAAUUCUGCGUUAAGGACAAACUGCACCUGUAGGACUUCAGCAGACUGACUAACAUGGAAUGAACCUAAAUUCUGUAGAGCGAACAACCCAAAAAGAAGGAAAUAUAAAGAUCACCUUGUUUGGAAGUCUGGACUAAUAACCCUAAGCUCUGUGGUGCUGAGCACUGUUCCUAUGCUAAGUAAAAAAGCUAAUAGAUGACAUCAAAACAAUAAGAGGAACAAACUUGCACAACUUGCUUCAUAUUAAGUGAUCUGAUAAAGCACAAGAACUUCUAAUUAAUAAAUUUCCACCAUUUAUGACUCAGUUGAGGGUACAAGGAUAAGUAUUGAUCAUGUAUUUAUGAACGAUAGCCUCUAUUUGACGCAAAAACAUGUUCAUUUUUCUUCCACAGAUUGUUCAAAAAUAUAAUUUUCCGGACGAUCGAGGAAGACAGUCAGCUUUUUAUAAUAUGUUUGAACUCUUAGAGUUUCAUCACAGGAUUUUAAGUAAAAUAAAUUGAAAUAACACAAAUGUUGAGCUCCUACGUUUUAUUACUUUGUUACACGUCUUUGUGUCCACACUAUCAACUUGCAGCGAUACUUAGGAGCCAUACAGUUAUCUUUUGAUUUAAGUCAGCAGAUAAUCAAGUUAGGAGCGGAAGAUCUGCAUGUUGCAAGAAGUUCCAAAUUUUUAAACUGACAUUCUACCCUUUUUCGAGGCAGACAUUUUCUCUUUGACCACUGAGGUUGGAAGCAACAUUUUUACAACGUCAAAAAAACUACUCAACAUCCUGAAACAUCAACAACAAUGUUACAUUGAUUCACGAUUGAACAGAUGGGAAAUAAUAAAUUGCGACAUUG